UACAGAGGGUGCGAGCGUUGUCCGGAAUCACUGGGCGUAAAGGGCGCGUAGGUGGCGACCCAAGUCUGUGGUGAAAGCUCGAUGCUUAACAUCGAGUCGGCCGCGGAAACUGGGUGGCUCGAGCACUGUAGGGGCAGAUGGAAUUCCGGGUGUAGCGGUGGAAUGCGUAGAGAUCCGGAAGAACACCGGUGGCGAAGGCGGUCUGCUGGGCAGCUGCUGACACUGAGGCGCGACAGCGUGGGGAGCAAACAGG
rnacentral:rRNA from 1 species